CCUACGGGUGGCAGCAGUGAGGAAUAUUGGUCAAUGGCCGAGAGGCUGAACCAGCCAAGUCGCGUGAGGGAAGACGGCCCUACGGGUUGUAAACCUCUUUUGUCGGGGAGCAAAGCGAACCACGUGUGGUUCAUUGAGAGUACCCGAAGAAAAAGCAUCGGCUAACUCCGUGCCAGCAGCCGCGGUAAUACGGAGGGUGCAAGCGUUGUCCGGAAUUAUUGGGCGUAAAGAGUUCGUAGGCGGCAUGUAAAGUCAGGUGUUAAAGGCGCAGGCUCAACCUGUGUAUGGCAGUUGAUACUUGCAAGCUGGAAUGGGGUAGAGGUAGAGGGAAUGCCUGGUGUAGCGGUGAAAUGCUUAGAUAUCAGGAGGAACAUCGGUGGCGUAAGCGCUUUACUGGGCCGUAAUUGACGCUGAGGAACGAAAGCCAGGGUAGCAAAUGGGAUUAGAUACCCCUGUAGUC
rnacentral:rRNA from 1 species